rnacentral:misc_RNA from 1 species
UCUAGACAUAAUGCCUGAUGCACAUUUAUUUUUGUUUUUUUAGUCUAUAUAAGUCUCCUCUGCUCUUGGACAAAUACCAGUAUUAAGUUAUUUGUAAAGUUCUAAAGUCUUUGAAAAUGAUCAAAUUGGUUAUAUUUACCAUCUUAAUUCUUCAAACGACCCUACAAGCGGCAUCAAUCCUUCCACUAGAACAGUCUUCAACGUCAUCCGUUAAAGUAAAACAAGAUGGCAGUGAAUACUCAUACUCUAUAAGUGAAAAUAAAGGACUAGCUACCAGUAAUAUCCAACCUCUUCCUUUAAUACCUAUAAUAGAAACUACUCUAUUAGAGAAACAACCUCUUCCUUCACUACCUAUAAUAGAAACUACUCUGUUAGAGAAUCAACCCGUAAAGCAAUUUCUUAUAAAUGAUUUGAAGAGAGUACCAGAAAAACAACCAGUGGAAAUAAAGAUACAAGAUUUGGAAAAAGAAAAGUUACAAGAGAAUUUAGAAAUAAAGGAAAAAUCGGAAGAACUAUUACCCGAACAACCAAAAUUGGAAAUGCCCAAAAUGCCGUUAAAGGAAGACGUAAACAUCCAAAAGUUGGAAAAACCACUAGAAUAUUAUCAAAUUAUUCCUGCAGACUACAGACUGAUUUUACCUAGUAACCUUCUUUUGGAAUAUCCCCAAUACGAAUAUUAUCCAUACUAUUAUAGAUACGCCAAUCAUUACCCUUAUUUCAGGUUAUAUUAGAAAAAUAUAUCAUUCGAAUUACUUUUAUUAAGUAUUCAUUUUUGUGUACCCUAUAAAAACAGUAUGAGGGUUUUAAUAAGUCUGAAUCACUUUUUAAUUUUAGGUGAUGGAAAAAUAGGUUAUCAUUUAUUUUUUAUUAUAAACAUAAGAAACUAUUUUAAGAAAUAAAAAAUUAUAAAAAUA